rnacentral:sRNA from 1 species
UACACACCGCCCGUCACACCACGAGAGUUGGUAAUACCAGAAGUAGGUUGCCUAACCAUUUGGAGGGCGCCUACCAAGGUAGGACUGGCGAUUGGGGUGAAGUCGUAACAAGGUAUCCGUACGGGAACGUGCGGAUGGAUCACCUCCUUUCUAUGGAGAUUAAUAUUAUUGAAGUUGAGAUAAACAACUUUGACUAUUCGUUCUAUUUAGUUUUCAGCGAUCAUUUUAUUAAAUUAAAAUAAUCUGCUGAAAGAUUGUUCUUUGAAAACUGAAUAUUUGAUGAGAAACGUAUAUUGAAUUUAAUUUAUUAUUUUCGAUAUACAAACUAAAACAAAGUAUUUAAUUCUUUUUGAAUUGAAUACUACAGUUAUUCAAAACUAAUUUAUUUAGUUUUGAUAGCAAUUGAAUUUUAAGUUUCAUUAAUUUGAAACUUAAAUAAUUUAAAACAAUUUUCUAAUAAAAAUAGUUAUUAAUUAUUGACAAUGAGAUCAGAAAUUAAAAACUAAAAUUUGUAAAUUGCCAUUAGAUUUCUUCUAAUAAAAGUAAGGGCAUACGGUGAAUGCCUUGGAAAAUGGAGCCGAAGAAGGACGUGACUACCUGCGAAAAGCAUCGGGGAGCUGGAAGUGAGCUUUGAUCCGAUGAUGUCCGAAUAGGGAAACCUGGCGAGACUAAUCUCUCGUCGUCGUUAAGUGAAUACAUAGCUUAACGUCGGGAACCUUGGGAACUGAAACAUCUUAGUACCAAGAGGAAAAGAAAACAAAUAGUGAUUCUCCUAGUAGCGGCGAGCGAACGGGGAACAGGCCAAACCGGUCUUCGGACCGGGGUUGUAGGACUUCUCUUAGAGUUACAAAAUUAACAUAUAGUGGAAAUAGUUGGGAAACUAUGACACAGAGGGUGAUGUCCCCGUACACGAAAUAUGUUAAUCUCGAAGAAGUAUCCUGAGUACGACGAAACACGUGAAAUUUUGUCGGAAUCUGUCGAGACCACUCGAUAAGCCUAAAUACUCCCAUUUUACCGAUAGUGAACCAGUAC